AACUUUCAGCAACGGAUCUCUUGGCUCUCGCAUCGAUGAAGAACGCAGCGAAAUGCGAUAAGUAAUGUGAAUUGCAGAAUUCAGUGAAUCAUCGAAUCUUUGAACGCACCUUGCGCUCCUUGGUAUUCCGAGGGGCAUGCCUGUUUGAGUGUCA
rnacentral:rRNA from 1 species